AUUGAACGCUGGCGGCAGGCCUAACACAUGCAAGUCGAGCGGAGCGAGGGUGCUUGCACCUUAGCUUAGCGGCGGACGGGUGAGUAAUGCUUAGGAAUCUGCCUAUUAGUGGGGGACAACAUUCCGAAAGGAAUGCUAAUACCGCAUACGCCCUACGGGGGAAAGCAGGGGAUCUUCGGACCUUGAGCUAAUAGAUGAGCCUAAGUCGGAUUAGCUAGUUGGUGGGGUAAAGGCCUACCAAGGCGACGAUCUGUAGCGGGUCUGAGAGGAUGAUCGGCCACACUGGGACUGAGACACGGCCCAGACUCCUACGGGAGGCAGCAGUGGGGAAUUUUGGACAAUGGGGGGAACCCUGAUCCAGCCAUGCCGCGUGUGUGAAGAAGGCCUUAUGGUUGUAAAGCACUUUAAGCGAGGAGGAGGCUCUUUUGGUUAAUACCCAAGAUGAGUGGACGUUACUCGCAGAAUAAGCACCGGCUAACUCUGUGCCAGCCGCCGCCGUAA
rnacentral:rRNA from 1 species